AGUCCCAAUAUCCCAUUAAUAGGGUCCCAAUCCCAUUAAUGGGGUCAGAACACUCACAUAUAAUUAGGUGGGUCCCAUCCCAUCAAUGGGGUCAAGUCCCACCAAUAAGGACCCAAUAACUUGGGGGGGGGGGGGACAGACCCCAUUGAUUUCUAUGGGGUUCCAUUGAAUUCUGGGCAAUGAAGGUUAUGGGGUGGGGGGGGUCCCAUCCCAUUAAUGGGGUCCCAUCCCAUCAAUGGGGUCAGACUCCAUUAAUAGGGUCCCAUCCCAUCAAUGGGGUCACUCGAUCAAUGGGGUCCAUCCCAUCAAUGGGGUCAAGUCCCACCAAUGAGGACCCAAUAACUUGGGGGGGGGGGGGGGGA
ensembl:lncRNA